AUUGAACGCUGGCGGCAGGCCUAACACAUGCAAGUCGAGCGGAGCUGCGAACGGGUGAGUAAUGCCUAGUAAUCAGCCUGUUAGUGGGGGAUAACGUCCGGAAACGGGCGCUCAUACCGCAUAAUAUCAGAUGAGCCUCGGUUGGAGUAGCUAGGUGGUGGGGUAAAGGCCUACCAAGGUGACGAUCCGUAACUGGUCUGAGAGGAUGAUCCGUCACACUGGAAAUGAGACACGGUCCAGACUCCUACGGGAGGCAGCAGUGGGGAAUAUUGGACAAUGGGCGAAAGCCUGAUCCAGCCAUGCCGCGUGUGUGAAGAAGGUCUUCGGAUUGUAAAGCACUUUAAGUUGGGAGGCGUUACCAAAAGAAUAAGCACCGGCUAACUUCGUGCCAGCAGCCGCGGUAAUUC
rnacentral:rRNA from 1 species